AUCACACAGACAGUAUUUGCUGUACUACGUAGUACAUACUGCAUGCUGUAUGUAACAUACAGUGCAAGUUGAUGUAUUCUGUGCUUGUAAAUAAAUCUGUAUUUAUAUUAUACUGCAUAUAUCAACAUUAUAUAGAAAUAGCAGAUUGUACAAUCAUAUGUUAACCAUUACAGGCAUAAACAUCUUCUGUAUAUACCUAUGUGCCUCAUGCAGCUUCUUUCAAUACCUCUUUUCAGACCAUUCUCUGUAGGACGGGUGGUCUUAAUUGACUCACUGUUGCUGUGUGCUUCAUUGCAUUAGAUGUUUUCUAGUGCAAGGCAGUCAGAACAUAAGCUAGCUGCAGGUAUAACUGUGGGGUUCUGGCCCACAGUUGGCACAAGUUCAGAUACAGCAUGCUAAGUGCCUCCAGCCUGCUUAAAGGCACAAAAAUUACCAUGAGCCUUCAGACUAGAAGUUGAUGUAUGAAUUAAUUUUUUACUUGGACUUUGAUUGCAGUGGUAUCAUGUUUUUAAGUGAAUACACUCCUCUGUGUGUGUCUGUAGAGUGAAGGUGCUGAAGUGAUUUGGUUCUCAGUUUUAGAUUGAAAAACCCUGUUGGCAUUUUGUAUCUUUCCAGUCUUCCCAGUGCACCUUUGCUGUAGGAAGUCCAUUAUUCAAAUUAAAAAUAUUUAAGAAGUGAUAGCAUUAAUAAUUUCUGAGUGAAAUUUAAGAAGCUACUAAAGGUUCAGAACUCUGUAUGCAUGUGUGUCUGUCUGUGUAUGGGAGUGUGGCAUUCUGUAUUUUUCAGUGAACUAAUUGUUAAGAAGAAAUUAAAUCAACUGUUAAGAAGAAAUUAAAUCAACUAAUAUAUGUACAAUAAGAGCCACCUCUCUGGUUGUUAAUUUUGUGUCCAGUUGAUAGAUUUUUGUGAGGUUGCAUGUUAAACACUAUCCUGUUUUGGUUGUAAUAGCUUGAGGUUUUUUAGUGAUAUUACCAUAAAAGACUUCAAAAUAUUAUUUUUUCACUAGAGAAAAAAAAAAUGCUACAAAUAUUGAAUACCUGAUGAUACUUUUUGUAAGUCUCUCCACUAACAGUUUGGGUAAGUCCCCUACUGGAAUAGUCCCUUUCCCCCACAUGCCACUUGACAAACAGUUUUAGCUGAAUCCAGAAUUUUACAGGUCCUCUUCUAAGCUUAGAACUUCUCUGCUACAUUACAGGUUGUGUCUUCUUGUUCCAGAGUCUGAAUCUAAAGGGUGCAUGUUUACGACCAUGUGUUGUUCUGGCCUACGUUGGAUUACAUUCUGAUUGCGUUCUGUUUUUUCUGCGCUGAUUUUUGUUCCAUAAAUACACAUCUUGAACUUCUCUCAUGUCCAUAAGCAGGCUGGUGUGGUGUGUAUUCUUGUCAAAUCCAAGUGAUACACAGGAUAAUAACAUGAGUAUUGUAUUGGCAAACCAUCUAGGCCACCUUGUGUAAGCUUUAUAUCAACUGCUAAUAAUUGUCAGCCUGUGUCUCACUCCACAUUCAUUCAUACACGCAGCAUAACAUUUAUGUCACUAGCAUAACAUUUAAUCCUAGUCCUGUUAGUGAAAGAGGUACAUGUACUUCAAGUUUUGUGAUAAAAUUCAUAUAAACAUAACUAGAACCUAGAAUUCUAUGAUAAUAUAUAGCCAGAACAUGUCUUUCUAUUGAGGUUUGUUUUCUCUGUAACCAUCAACCAUGGCCCAAUCAAAUUGUUUUCUUUUGCAGCUCACGGUGACACAGAACACAGCGCAUUGUAACUACAAGAACAGACUCAACUGUGAAAGAUCUCUAUCAGGCAUCACAGAGAAUUUGAGGCAGCUGGCAGUUAUCAGCUGAAGCAGUUAGUCAGUAGAACUGUACAAGAUAAAUAGAUAAUUGAAAAGCCAUCUGGAAACCUGGGAGAGAUAAUAAGCCUCUCUUCUAGAAGUGAGGUAACAACUCAGGUAGGUCACAGAUGAACUCAACUCCCAGAUCAGUGCUUUGCCUAAUAACACUGAAAAUACAGCAGCAGUUCAUGCCUGUCAGUUCUGAAGUAGUAUUGAAAUUGUUGUUGGAAAGGCAGUUUGGCAUAUUCAGUUAUACAAAUCAUUAUUGCAAUAGAGUGAAGAAGGCUUGUACUGCUGAAAGAUAGGUGACCAAAAUCCCAGGAGCAACCCGGCUGUUUGUUAAAUUACAGUUGCCAAAAUAGAAAACUAGUUGCAGGCACUUUUUUACCCUCCAUGCUACUUUGUUUAUACUGCUGUGCAACUGGUACCAUUCCUGCCACACUGACCACGGUAGUCUGUGGGGCAAGUGACUUCUUUCUUUGUGAAAUUUAUAUUUAUAUGAAGAUAAUGGAACUAUUUUUGUUUUAUUUACCAUGAGCACAGAGAAUGGAGGGGACAGGCCAAUGUCUAUGAGUGAAAGAAUGUGUUGAUCUUAGUAGCUGCAUUUUAAAAGAGUCCUGAAGAGUCUUUCUGUUCAAGUCACUCUUAUGAUUCUCAAAUUUCUGACUACAGAAAGUGUGAAAUCUUGCAUGAACAUGCAAGGAAACUGAUGCCAUUUGUUAACUCCUCUUGCUAGGUUCUGAUUUCUUAUAGAACUAUAUUGAUUGUAGGGAAGGAACAUGAGAUAUUUUUGUGAGAGUGGGCACAAAAAAUAAGUUUUUGGCCUUUUUCAAAAAAGAAAGUGACCUCUUUCCUCCAGAUGAGUGCUUGAAUUGAUCCACUGACAUCUGUCUAUUUUGUUAAACCACUCAGGUGGAUCACAGGAAAUAACUGAUGCCAGUGUAAUAUUAAUUCUUGUGGAGCUGAACACAACAAACAAACAAAAACAACCCCAACCAACCAACAAAACAAAACAAAAAAAAAGAAGACUUUUGCUACAGUACAGUAGCUAGGAAAGCAACAUAUUAAAUUCUCAAAAUACAUUAACAAAAAUUUGUAUGUGUCCAUGUUGCUGGCUGCAGAAAUAAUGUGAUUCAUUUGAACAGUCUCUGUAAAUCUUAAAAAGUAACUGCUGUUUUUAUUUUUUAGGUAUUGUUCCAAUAUCUGUUUUGGACAUGAAUUAGCUGUGCACAUAUGUAAAUUCUGCUUCUAUGUAUUGACUGUUGAGUAUGUUUUCCUUUCAUAUCUCAUUUUAUUACUGCUAAAACAAAAAAAAAAAAGGCAAAGCUUUAAAGCUUACAAGUGCAUGAAAAAAUUUAAAUUAACAUUUGCUGGUUUGAAGCCUGAUUCAUCUUUUCAUUAUAAUCCUAGUGAUGGACUUCGGUCAGUCUAGAGCCAUUUUUAUAUCAGUUUCUCAGUUCAGACACAAGUGUAUAAUUGUAAAUAACCAUUGUGUUAUAACUAUAUAACUAUAAUCUAACUUCAUUAGAUUACAAAACUUCUUAGGUAGCAGGAGAAUUUUCUUUCUGACUUACUUAUUUUUAUUUUCUUUUAAAAGAAGGUUAAAUGAAAUAGCCAAAAUUUGCUUUUUAGAUAAAAUUGCAGAAUCUUCCUAAGUAUUUAUUAUAUAAGAAUCCAAUAUAACAAUAGUUAUAAUCUAAAAAGAUGUUGGCAACAUGCUGUUGUAAACACUGCAAAUAAUACUUAGAAUAAUAUGCAGAGUCAGAAGUAAGAAGGCAUCACUCAGAAGGAAGCAUCCUUAUAAUUAGGAUAGAAACAGAUCUAUUUUACUUUUUUCUUUCUCUUAUGAGUCCUUUGAGUAUUUCAGUCCUUUUCCUGUGCUGUGAUCCAGAUUCAACAGGAAAAGUGAAGAAUAAAUAGUUCAGCUCAGGCUCACACUGUAUAACUGAGAUUUAGGCUCUACUGUAGGAGGUCUGAACAGAAGAAGGUAUUAGAAACUCUUUGUGAUCAAGUUCUCUAAUUGUGCAAGAAGGGAGAGAUCCUUCAUUAUCUGGUUGUGCUCAAAUAUUAAGCCAGUACUCUAAAUCUCAGGGGAUAAAGAUGUCUGUUUUAUAUAGGCACAUGACUUAGAUUAACUGUUCAGAUAAACAUCAUGCCUGAGUGUUUCCAAAGCUCUUUGCUCUAUUAUCAGGAAAAAGGAAAAGGCUUCCCCCUAAAAGGUUCUGAAUUUCAUGAUGGAGGAGCUUAAACCCCUGCUUGUUUGAGAGCUGGCUGCCUAAGGAGCUACGUGUGAACCCUCCUGCAGCUAUAAUACUCUGAAUAAGGCCCUUGAAUGUAGAUAGCUUUGCAGAAAUGUUAAGCAUCAGUGAGCAUACUCUGAUGGGAUCAUAUUCUGCACUCAAGGUAACAUGACAGUCCAACUCCUGAGCAGGUUCACAGAACAUAAUGAAUUUCUUCAAUACCAUGAGUACAUCGAACUAAUCUUCAGUACUUCACUUGUUAUUCAUUGUGAUGAAAGCACUGGAGUAUAUGAUCAAAAUCAUACAUGAAGAGCUUUCACUUCAUGUCAUUAUGUCUUAUUAUUAUAAUCUUGGUUUACUUUGCAGCUCACUUCUGAGAUAAUCACAUUUUUACAGAGUGGAUAAAACUUUAGAAAUAGAAGUAUGGUUGGAAUGCCAGUGCUUGGCAUGCUUCAAAACUGUAAAAAUCAUUAGUAUAUAAUGCAUUUAUUUUCUCUACUGAUUAGGUCAAAAAUGUGUGUCUACAUUUUAGGGGACACAUACCAAACAAGUUCUUCUCCUAACACACAAAUCAACACCAGGAGACUUUUGGAGAAGAAAACAGACAAUAUUUACGUAUAUGGUUCUAAAGUGCACUAUAAGGAAGUAGAAGUCAACUUUCCAUUUGGGGAAGGUCUCAGGUCGCUGAUCCAAACCCUGUUUUCCCAACAAAUGGCAACGGCAAUGUGUUUGCAGGUAUUCACAUAUGUCCUCUUACUUAUUGGUGACUUUCUUGUUCUUUAACAAUAAGGCCUGAUGUAACUUCUGCUGGUGCCCCAGGAUCACACUAUUUUGAUUUGUUUAUUCCACAAAAUCAGUAAUAAUCAUUUCUUUUUUCCCAUUUACAUUUUUUUGUCAGUCAUUAUCUCAUUUCAGUCAUUGUCUCAUUGUCAGUAAUGUCUUUGGAUGCACAAGUCUGAUACUGAAUUGGUCUUCAAAUAUCUACUUCUUAUCAAAUAGCUUGAACUCUGCAACAAUUUAUUGUGGUCUCGGGUGAGACUUAGGUGCAAAUUGAGACAUUUUAGGCAUCUAUAUGGGAGGGCUCAGGUGUAAAUUGUAUGUGUGAACUCUUGUUCUAGAAAAGAAUCAAUGCAAUCUGUGGACCCUUCUUGAUGCCUUGUCUGCUGAUGAACUUUGCUUUGCAGAACAACUCAGAGGGAGCUGAGUUGUUCUCUAAGCUCCAUCUGAGCACAAACAAAAAAUAUGGCAUGUGAAAUGUACUGUCAGUUUCUGUCUUGCAGUUCUCUACAGGAAGAAAUUCCCAGAAACUGGAAAAAUACAUUUAAGAAUAUAUUUUUAUAUCACUAAGUUCCUGACAAAAAUAGUGACGAGAACUUUCCUGAGUUUCUCCCAAAGACAAAUCAGGAUUCCGUAAAAUUGUUGGAUCUUUGCUUGUCAUUUGCUGUGACUUGUACACAUCAUACAACAGUACCUGAAGCUAUUGGCCAGAACAAAGCCCAAAGGGCUGCAAUCACGUACUGAUGAGCCUGAGAAAUCCGCAUGACCUUCAUGACCAGGAGAAAAGAUGCUGUUAUGCUGUUUUGCACCUUCCAAUGGCCAGUUACAAGCACAAAUCCCAAUGAACUUAAGUAGACUGCGCAUAUACUGUAAUAAAAGGUUUUCAAAAUGUCUUGCUUAAAAACAUCUCUGAUCUGCAUAGAUGAGAUGAUGAUGAUCAGCCUUAGCCACACACUCAAGUAAUUUAUUAAGUGUAUGGAUUUUGUCCAGAUUCUGCUUGCUACUGUUUUGUGAGUUGCUGUCCUGGAGACUCUAAAUCCUGAGGAAACUAAAUUAAUUUUCUCAACUGUCUACAGUUCUCUACCUCAUUCGACAGUGACAAAUAUUGAUACUAUGUGCUAUAAAACCAUCUUUUUUUUUUUAUUUUAUAUGAAAGAAAUCCAUCUUGGAACUAAACAUCUUGCUACCAGAGUUGGUUUUGUUGUUGUUGUCGUUGUUGGGCUUAUGUGAUAUUUUCAGAUAGCAAGAGAGGCUGCUCUGUACUGUAAUCAGGCACUCUCUACAGGUGGUAUUAUUUGACAGUGAAACUGGGACAACCUUUCUCUGUUCUUGCUUCUUAAAAGACAGGGAACAUGUUCAGAUGAAGUAUACAAAUAUGAUUGUGGAUGAAGCGAGAAGAGCAAAAUGCACUGACAAGGACUGGAAGGGGUUGCUGUAAAUUUUGGUGACGGCAUUUGCUUUGCAUUAAUCCUCUUCACCAAGGAAAGAAUGCACUUUGUACAACAGAUUGAUUCGGGGUGUUUGGGAGACUGUGAAUCCCUCAUCAAGACAAGUUGAAUCAUUUUUGUGAGAGAGGAAUAAAAAGGAAAGGAACAGCUCAACAUCAGAGAAAUGUUUCUCUGCAGGCAGAGAGCCACAUUCAAUGUUGUCCUCCUCUGUGUUAUUUAGAGCAGAAAUUAAAAUACUGGUCUCAUUCUGCUUUUAAGAGUGGAAAUCCCAUUUUGAGAAACAAUGAAGUGAAAUUGGUAUUAGGUGUAGUUGUGUAAAUAAGCCUGGUUAUGCAGUAGCUGCAGUUUAUUUAAGUAACUGCCAUAUUUCCAAGUUACUGGGAAUGAAUAUCAGCAUGCAGAUAUUUUCCAUGGUGACAUAAAUGUUUCAUGCCCAAUUUUCAAGUAGUUGUGGUAAAAUAACUGGCAUUUUCCUGGCUGAUGUGGCUGGAUUCUUGUAGCAUUCUUUUGUUAGCUGGUAAAUCAGCUGAACAAUCCAUCGCACACCACAGGUUUUUUUUAUAGUUUAUGGUCAUACCCAAGGAAAGCAUUUCAAUGGAUGUCUCUCAGUAAAAAAAGGAGUGGCUAUCUUGACUUCAGAAAUGUAAGGCAAAGCCUUUGUUUGUUUCUUCAGUAAGAUAACUACAUUCUAUAAAUAGCUGUGAUUUUCCCCUCAGAGAUAAUAAAUUAUCAUUAUCUUCUAUAGCUUAUUUUAUAAUUUAAAUUUUAAUUUCAUUUUAAGGAAAAAGUGUAAGGGAUCAGUAACAGAUGAACCCACAUUUAUUGAAUAAAUUUUGAAAACUAUAAAAAAAGUAAUUUAUAUCUGAGUGCCUGAUUUUUCUGAUUAACAAGUAACAAUAUCAAUUUGCAAGGUUGUAAUUUCUAUCACUAUAAACUAUUAAUGAAAUAAUUAUAUAUUGUAAAAUUGGUGAAUGUAAAGCUUCACGUUAAGCUCUAUAUUUUAUGUUAUAGGUUUUUAUCAGUGUGUUUUGUAAUAUGGUAAUGGAGCUUGGUAAUAAUGAAAAUAGCAUUAUGACAGAUGGGUAAUUAAACAAACAAACAAACAGAACCAAAAAUCAAAACAAACCAAACAAAUAAACAAACAAAAAUCAAACCAAGGGACAGGUGCCUGGAUAGAAACAUCUCUGAAAUAAAUGCUUACAUAGUAUUGAAUUUGAAUAAACAAUUCAAACCCAUUCUUAAAUUUUUGUUUGUGAAGUAUUUCCACACAAUAAAAGCUCACACUUGUAGGUAAAUUAAUGUUAAAAUGAAAAAUUGCAGAUGAAAUUCAAGACUGAUAAUAGCACAGAAAUGCACAUAGAAAGAGAAACCAAUCUUAGCUAUAGAUACAAUCAUAUGCAUCAUUGUAACUGUUUCCACAAAAACAUGAAAAGAUCUCCAUGAAAAGAGAUCUAGAGAGGUUUUUAUGGACAGUUCCCAGCAAUCUCAGUUUGGUAUAGAGCAAAGCAGGGAACAUAAAUAUAUUAAUGUGUAACAGUGGUAUGUGCAGAUAGUAACUAUUUUGUUAAUUUCUGAAAAUACAACACAUAAAUACAAUAGAUACACAUAAAACCUCAAAAACUGUAAAAAGCAUGGCGAAGGGUGUAUGGCAUAAUGAGGUAAAAACUGCUUAGGACAAGUGGAAAAUCAAAUAAAGAUUUUUUGUGUUUCAAA